CGGACGGGUGAGUAAUGCUUGGGAAUCUAGCUUAUGGAGGGGGAUAACUACGGGAAACUGUAGCUAAUACCGCGUAGAAUCGGGAGAUGAAAGUGUGGGACCUUCGGGCCACAUGCCAUAGGAUGGGCCCAAGUGGGAUUAGGUAGUUGGUGAGGUAAAGGCUCACCAAGCCGACGAUCUCUAGCUGGUCUGAGAGGAUGACCAGCCACACUGGGACUGAGACACGGCCCAG
rnacentral:rRNA from 1 species